UACGUAGGGGGCAAGCGUUGUCCGGAUUUAUUGGGCGUAAAGAGCGUGUAGGCGGCCAGGUAGGUCUGCUGUGAAAACUCGAGGCUUAACCUCGAGCUGUCGGCGGAAACCAUCUGGCUAGAGUCCGGAAGAGGAGAAUGGAAUUCCCGGUGUAGCGGUGAAAUGCGCAGAUAUCGGGAAGAACACCCGUGGCGAAGGCGGUUCUCUGGACCAUAACUGACGCUGAUGCACGAAAGCUAGGGGAGCAAACAGG
rnacentral:rRNA from 1 species